CGGCGUAACACGUAAGCAACCUGCCCCGAAGACCGGGACAACAUUCCGAAAGGAGUGCUAAUACCGGAUGUGGCCAUUUUUGGACAUCCAGAGAUGAUUAAAUCGCGCUAGUAAUAGUGGCGGCUUCGGGAGGGGCUUGCGGCCCAUCAGCUAGUUGGUGGGGUAACGGCCUACCAAGGCGACGACGGGUAGCGGGUCUGAGAGGACGAUCCGCCGGACUGGGACUGAGAUACGGCCCAG
rnacentral:rRNA from 1 species